AUGGAUAGCGUCGACACAAACCCGGCGGCCAGCGUCGAAGGUUGCAGCUUUCAGCCGCUCAACCCAGAAGACGUGCGCGCAUGCCUCUACAAGGCCGCCGACUUCAUCACGGAUUACUACAUCAGCAUCGAGUCCAUGCCGGUUCUCCCCGACGUCAAGCCAGGCUACCUACGGAACGAGCUUAUGGCGUCCCCGCCAGAACACUCGGCUCCCUUUGACGUCACCAUGAAGGAGCUGAGGACAUCCGUCGUCCCCGGGAUGAUGCAUUGGGCUAACCCCAACUUCUUCGCGUUCUUCCCGUCCACCAACAGCGCCGCAGCCAUCGCAGGGGAGCUAAUUGCCUCGGCCAUGAACACCGUGGGGUUCACGUGGCAGGCGGCUCCUGCGGCCACCGAGAUGGAGGUGCUCGUGCUGGACUGGCUCGCGCAGCUCCUGCGACUGCCAGCUAGCUUCAUGAACCGCACCAGCGCUGGGCAUGGCACCGGCGGCGGAGUCAUCCUUGGGACCACCAGUGAGGCCAUGCUCGUCACACUGGUUGCCGCACGUGAUGCGGCGCUGCGCCGGAGUGGCUCCAAUGGCGUGGACCGCAUCACAAGGCUCACGGUGUACGCUAGCAACCAGACACACUCCACGUUCUUCAAGGCAUGCCGCCUCACCGACUUUGACCCUGCCAACCUCCGAUCCAUCCCUACCGGGCCGGAGACUGACUACGGGCUCGACCCGGCCAAGUUGCUCGAGAUCAUGCAUGCGGACUUUCGUGCCAGCCUCGUGCCAACAUACAUCUGCGCCACUGUUGGUACCACGUCGUCCAACGCCGUGGACCCGGUGGGUGCAGUUGCAGAUGUCGCAGCCAUGUUUAAUGCAUGGGUCCACGUCGAUGCUGCCUAUGCUGGCAGCGCCUGCAUCUGUCCGGAGUUUCGGCACUAUAUCGAUGGCGUUGAGCAUGUGGACUCCAUCAGUAUGAGCCCGCACAAGUGGCUGCUCACAUGCCUUGACUGCACCUGCUUGUGGGUGCGCAACACGCACCGUCUCACCGACGCACUACAGAUGAACCCAGAGUAUCUGAAGAACGACGCUACCGAGUCCGGCAUGGCCACCGAUCUCAAGGACAUGCAAGUCGGUGUGGGCCGCCGCUUCCGUGGGCUCAAGUUGUGGAUGGUGAUGCGCACCUACGGCACUACCAAGCUUCAGGAGCACAUCCGAAGCGAUGUUGCUAUGGCCAAAGCAUUCGAGGAGCUUGUCCGUGCCGAUGACCGGUUCGAGAUUGUAGUGCCGAGGAACUUCGCCUUGGUAUGCUUCAGAAUCAGGGCAUGUGGAGCCAUGACAGAGGAAGUGGCCGAUGAGGUGAACCAUCUCCUGAUGGACCGGCUCAACAUUUCGGGGAAGGCCUACCUUGCGCACACGGUGGUCGGCAGGAGGUUCACUCUACGGUUCGCGGUAGGGUCGUCGAUGCAGGAGGAGCGGCACGUGCGGAGGAGAUCAUGCAAUAACGGAGUUCAUCAAUUAAUGUGUUCGAUUAAUUAUUAUUGUUUGUGA
rnacentral:rRNA from 1 species